AUGAACGCUGGCGGCGUGCCUAAUACAUGCAAGUCGAGCGAACGGACGAGAAGCUUGCUUUUCUGAUGUUAGCGGCGGACGGGUGAGUAACACGUGGAUACCUACCUAUAAGACUGGGAUAACUUCGGGAAACCGGAGCUAAUACCGGAUAAUAUUUUGAACCGCAUGGUUCAAAAGUGAAAGACGGUCUUGCUGUCACUUAUAGAUGGAUCCGCGCUGCAUUAGCUAGUUGGUAAGGUAACGGCUUACCAAGGCAACGAUGCAUAGCCGACCUGAGAGGGUGAUCGGCCACACUGGAACUGAGACACGGUCCAGACUCCUACGGGAGGCAGCAGUAGGGAAUCUUCCGCAAUGGGCGAAAGCCUGACGGAGCAACGCCGCGUGAGUGAUGAAGGUCUUCGGAUCGUAAAACUCUGCUAUUAGGGAAGAACAUAUGUGUAAGUAACUGUGCACAUCUUGACGGUACCUAAUCAGAAAGCCACGGCUAACUACGUG
rnacentral:rRNA from 1 species